CUCACAGGAACUUUGUGUGUGUCAACAUGAAGCUGCUGUAUACUGAAGUUUCAGAUGCACAGGGGAUCAGUCAAAAACAUCUUCCUGGGAGGAGAUGAGUCGAGACUCCCCGUGGUGCAGAGUGAAGAAAGAGUCUGGCUUCAGUCCUUUCUGCUCCAGGGCCUCUCUGAGACGCACCGGAGGCUCCAGGUAGAACUGAUGGAGGAAACAAGACCAGGGGGGACAGACCUGAGCGAGAGUGAACGUUCCCCAGUGGAUGGCCACGGACUGUUUGGCCUGAAGGUCUUGAUGGACCUGAACAGCCUCUUCUGGAUCUACAUGCUGCCCCUGCAUCAUGUCCCUGAAAAAAAGAAUGUUCUUACAUGUUUGUCUCUGUAAACUCUAAUAAACAGAAAUGAUCUCUA